UAAAAAGCUACUGGAGGAAGAGGAAGUAUAGGCCUAUGUGACAGUACUUCCUCAUUUAGGUUUAGUCAUUUAUCAAAGUAUGGCGACCAUGCAUUUCCCCAUCGCUAUUCUACUAACUCUUCUCCAUCAACCAGAGCCCAGUGUUGAGACCUCUGUGUUUGUGCUGAAGGGACAGGAUGUUCGCCUGAAUGUCCCGACAAAUGUUCAACUGCAAGUUGUCGAUGUACUAUUUUGGAAGUUUAACAGAUCAGGCAAUAUUGUAAAGUACCCCCCAAAAGUUACCUUUGAAAGGUACCAAGAUAGGGUUGAAUUUAGUGUGGUAGAAACUUCUCUCUGCUACUGAAGAACAUACAGGAAGGAGACAGUGGACUUUAUGAUGCAGUAGUGAGUGGUAGCAAAGACAGAAAUGUUGCUGCAUACUUGAUAAAAGUCCAAGAGAGAGUUGAGCCACCAAUCCUGACAGUGGACUCUAAUUCCACCAUCAAUGCCACCUGUAAUGUGACUGUGACCUGCAGAGGUCAGACCACCUCUGUCAUCUCCAGCUGUAACAGCAGCACCUGCUCUCAGGUGGGAGGAGAGAGUAGAGGGGCUGAGACCUCCACUGUCCCCCUGCUCUCUGUCUAUGUGGCAGGGGGUUCCAUCAUCUGUAACCACAGCAACCAAGUCAGCUGGGCCAACCACACCAAGGAGAUCAAAACGAUUUGUCUAUUGGAAUUAGAGCGGGACAGAGAGGACCGUAACUACGCUGUCACUGUCGGGAUGCCAGGUCCUGUCGUCCACGUCAUCAUCAUCUUUGUUGGAUCCGCCUUGAUUGGUUGGUGAAAGCUAAAUAAAGGUGACAAAGUGGAAAUUAUAAUCACAGAGUAUGCUAUUUUCAGGACUCCAGGUUACAGUCAAGUAGGUGGUGAAGAGCAGGAAUCUCUAGGUUCAGGUCCAGCAUCAGCCACCAUCUAUAGUAUGGUGGGAGAUUACCACCCCCAGCCUAUGAACCAGCCCACCAUGGUGGGAGACCAGUCUCCACCUGAGGACUUCCCCAUGACCUCCAUGACCUCCAUGACCAUGCCUGAGAGUUUAUAUGCUACUGUGUGGUGGGGAAAAAAGAGUAGCAAACAAUAAUCAGGAAUGUUAACAUCAUCUAGACCAGGUUUGUAUGACUUUGCUUUUUGUCGCCUAUACACCUUUGAAGGAAAUGUUCCCGCGUUCACUGAGAACAUUCAAUUCACCUUAAUCCGGAAAUGAUGUUUAAAUGUACAUAGUAGCUGACAAACCAUGAUCAGAUUGAAUCUUGGCCUAAGACCGCGGAAGAUCCGUGCUAUAGCGUGAUUGAAAUUUAAAGGCAAUGUAUCUGCGUGUGUGGGGACUGCAUCGGUAAACUCUGCAUAUGUCGGCUCAAUUGGAAAUUACCUUUACAUUUCUAUCGUGCUACAAUUCGGAUAUUCUUCCAAACAACGAUCAACUACAGAUGAAGGAUCUUAAUUUGACCACACUGUUGUUGCAGGAAAUGCAAACUUGUAGUGUAUUCGAGGUUUAAAAUUGCUUCUAAAGUUUGGAAUUUACACUUUAAAAUAUCAGACUUGAUUUGCCAAUACAAAAAAUCUAAAACCUCCACAAACAUUUUCAUUAUUUAUAUCCCCAUAAUCCUGUUGCUUCAGGAUAUUUUCCUGCUGUGAGAAACGGGUCAAAUUAAGAUCCUACAUCUGUAAGCAGAGCUGUCUUUGAAAAUGUUAAAUAUAUAUAUUUUUUUUCCUUGUAAUAUUUGUGAACCAUCAUGACAGUAGUAUGCUGUAAAAGUACAUAAAAAUAAGUGAACAUUUCAAAUGAUUCAUCAUAGUGGGAAUUAAACAGAAACAAAUAAUGUAUCAUAGUGGGUAUUAAACAGAAACACAUCAUUCCUCUUAAUGGGUAUUAAACAGAAACAAAUAAUGUAUCAUUGUGGGUAUUAAACAGAAACACAUCAUUCCUCUUAAUGGGUAUUAAACAGAAACAAAUAAUUUAUCAUAGUGGGUAUUAAACAGAAACAAAUCUUUCAUCAUAGUGGGUACUAAACAGAAACAAAUGAACCAAAAACAUGUGAUACUGUACAGUCAGAUAUUCUUAUGUCAUGUUAUGCUGUGCUACUGUACAUUAUACUAUGUCAUGUAAUAUAUUAUGUCAAGCCCUAAUAAUAUGCCUUGAAAUGCUAUGCUAUCUUACAUUAGGCUAAAGACAUGCUACGGUACUUGGUGACGAGUAAGUAUUUUUUUCCUUUGGGCUGUAUGUUUCAAUGUGUAGUUCAUACAUGCAUAAUCUAUGAGCAGAAUUAACGUUUUACCUCAAUAAGCAACUGUUUUCUGGAAGCUGUGUGGCGCCAUUUUCUCUACAUUUACCUCAACGUGCGCCAGCCCGCUAGAAAUUCCAGUUUCAGCCGAUGAGCUUCAGCACCUUGCCAUUUCAGUGACAGCUAGCAAGACACACACACACAGCAGAGCGAGGGAGAGCAAUGACGUGGUGCACAUAUCUGCACAUUUGUCACCCAGUUCUCGGGUAUCACUUUUGGCUUGUGAGCGUUACUUUCAGAACUACUUCCUAAAAAAUAUAACAAAUUAAAAAAGAAUAUCUAAGGUAUGUUAUUUUUAUAGCAACAAAUGAAAAGAAAAAGUAAAUUACCUAAUCUGAUUUACAUGUGCAGGUAACAUCCUUCUGUUUCUGUGUACUGUACAUUGUUACAUAAAAAGGAACGGAAUUAUUAAUCUCAUGAUUAUAUCUUCUGCUGGAUAUCAUCACAUUUCAUUGUAAAUAAUAUCCUCACUGUGGGAAGCCCUGUCAAUGGUAAAAAUACAAUAAACGUCAUUCUGUCA